rnacentral:rRNA from 1 species
AACGAACGCUGGCGGCAUGCCUAACACAUGCAAGUCGAACGAAGGCUUCGGCCUUAGUGGCGCACGGGUGCGUAACGCGUGGGAAUCUGCCCUUUGGUUCGGAAUAACAGCUGGAAACGGCUGCUAAUACCGGAUGAUGACGAAAGUCCAAAGAUUUAUCGCCAGAGGAUGAGCCCGCGUUGGAUUAGGUAGUUGGUGGGGUAAAGGCCUACCAAGCCGACGAUCCAUAGCUGGUCUGAGAGGAUGAUCAGCCACACUGGGACUGAGACACGGCCCAGACUCCUACGGGAGGCAGCAGUGGGGAGUAUUGGACAAUGGGCGCAAGCCUGAUCCAGCAAUGCCGCGUGAGUGAUGAAGGCCCUAGGGUUGUAAAGCUCUUUUACCCGGGAAGAUAAUGACUGUACCGGGAGAAUAAGCCCCGGCUAACUCCGUG